rnacentral:rRNA from 1 species
GGAAUCUUCCACAAUGGGCGCAAGCCUGAUGGAGCAACGCCGCGUGUGUGAUGAAGGGUUUCGGCUCGUAAAACACUGGUAUAAGAGAAGAACGGCACUGAGAGUAACUGUUCAGUGUGUGACGGUAGCUUACCAGAAAGGAACGGCUAAAUACGUGCCAGCAGCCGCGGUAAUACGUAUGUUCCACACGUUAUCCGGAUUUAUUGGGCGUACAGCGAGCGCAGACGGUUAUUUAAGUCUGAAGUGAAAGCCCUCAGCUCAACUGAGGAAUGGCUUUGGAAACUGGAUGACUUGAGUGCAGUAGAGGAAAGUGGAACUCUAUGUGUAGCGGUGAAAUGCGUAGAUAUAUGGAAGAACACCAGUGGCGAAGGCGGCUUUCUGGACUGUAACUGACGUUGAGGCCCGAAAGUGUGGGUAGCAA